UACGAAGGAUGCAAGCGUUAUCCGGAUUCAUUGGGUUUAAAGGGAGCGUAGGCGGCCUUGUAAGUCAGUGGUGAAAUCUCUCGGCUUAACCGAGAAAUUGCCAUUGAUACUGCAGGGCUUGAGUACAGUUGCCGUUGGCGGAAUAUGACAUGUAGUGGUGAAAUACAUAGAGAUGUCAUAGAACACCGAUUGCGAAGGCAGCUAACGAAGCUGUAACUGACGCUGAGGCUCGAAAGUGCGGGGAGCAAACAGG
rnacentral:rRNA from 1 species